CCAAGAAAAGUUUCUAAGUUUAGCUAAUGUUGCCCGUACCGUAAACCGACACAGGUGGGUGGGAUGAGUAUUCUAAGGCGCGUGGAAGAACUCUCUUUAAGGAACUCUGCAAAAUAGCACCGUAUCUUCGGUAUAAGGUGUGGUUCGCUUUGUAUUAGAAUUUACUUCGAAAGCAAAGAAACUUACAACAAAGAGUCCCUCCCGACUGUUUACCAAAAACACAGCACUCUGCUAACUCGUAAGAGGAUGUAUAGGGUGUGACGCCUGCCCGGUGCUCGAAGGUUAAUUGAUGGGGUUAGCAUUAGCGAAGCUCUUGAUCGAAGCCCGAGUAAACGGCGGCCGUAACUAUAACGGUCCUAAGGUAGCGAAAUUCCUUGUCGGUUAAAUACCGACCUGCAUGAAUGGCGUAACGAGAUGGGAGCUGUCUCAAAGAGGGAUCCAGUGAAAUUGUAGUGGAGGUGAAAAUUCCUCCUACCCGCGGCAAGACGGAAAGACCCCGUGGACCUUUACUACAGCUUGACACUGCUAUUUGGAUAAGAAUGUGCAGGAUAGGUGGGAGGCUUUGAGUAAUAGACGCCAGUUUAUUAUGAGCCGUUGUUGAGAUACCACUCUUUCUUAUUUGGGUAGCUAACCAGCUUGAGUUAUCCUCAAGUGGGACAAUGUCUGGUGGGUAGUUUGACUGGGGCGGUCGCCUCCCAAAUAAUAACGGAGGCUUACAAAGGUUGGCUCAGAACGGUUGGAAAUCGUUCGUAGAGUAUAAAGGUAUAAGCCAGCUUAACUGCAAGACAUACAAGUCAAGCAGAGACGAAAGUCGGUCUUAGUGAUCCGGUGGUUCUGUGUGGAAGGGCCAUCGCUCAAAGGAUAAAAGGUACCCCGGGGAUAACAGGCUGAUCUCCCCCAAGAGCUCACAUCGACGGGGAGGUUUGGCACCUCGAUGUCGGCUCAUCGCAUCCUGGGGCUGGAGCAGGUCCCAAGGGUAUGGCUGUUCGCCAUUUAAAGCGGUACGCGAGCUGGGUUCAGAACGUCGUGAGACAGUUCGGUCCCUAUCUGCCGUGGGCGUAAGAAGAUUGAAGAGAUUUGACCCUAGUACGAGAGGACCGGGUUGAACAAACCACUGGUGUAGCUGUUGUUCUGCCAAGAGCAUCGCAGCGUAGCUAAGUUUGGAACGGAUAAACGCUGAAAGCAUCUAAGCGUGAAGCCAACUCUAAGAUGAAUCUUCUCUAAGCUCUCUAGAAGACUACUAGUUUGAUAGGCUGGGUGUGUAAUGGAUGAAAGUCCUUUAGCUGACCAGUACUAAUAGAGCGUUUGGCUUAUCUUUUUUAUAAGCAU
rnacentral:rRNA from 1 species